rnacentral:rRNA from 1 species
GAACUAGACCUCAAUUUGAGCAAGAUUACCCGCUGAACUUAAGCAUAUCAUGACAUAGACGAUAUAGGGCUGGACGGAA